rnacentral:rRNA from 1 species
GAACCAGCCAAGUAGCGUGCAGGAUGACGGCCCUAUGGGUUGUAAACUGCUUUUAUAAGGGAAUAAAGUGAGCCUCGUGAGGCUUUUUGCAUGUACCUUAUGAAUAAGGACCGGCUAAUUCCGUGCCAGCAGCCGCGGUAAUACGGAAGGUCCGGGCGUUAUCCGGAUUUAUUGGGUUUAAAGGGAGCGUAGGCCGGAGAUUAAGCGUGUUGUGAAAUGUAGAUGCUCAACGUCUGCACUGCAGCGCGAACUGGUUUCCUUGAGUACGCACAAAGUGGGCGGAAUUCGUGGUGUAGCGGUGAAAUGCUUAGAUAUCACGAAGAACUCCGAUUGCGAAGGCAGCUCACUGGAGCGCAACUGACGCUGAAGCUCGAAAGUGCGGGUAUCGAACAGGAUUAGAUACCCUGGUAGUCCGCACGGUAAACGAUGGAUGCCCGCUGUUGGUCUGAAUAGGUCAGCGGCCAAGCGAAAGCAUUAAGCAUCCCACCUGGGGAGUACGCCGGCAACGGUGCAACUCAAAUGAAUUGACGGA